ensembl:lncRNA
UGAUGCUUUGUUUGAGCAAUUUUUAGUACAGGUUUUAACCUUCUCACAGCGUUUCCUGAGUUGUACAAGAAGCUUUACGUUCCUAUUGUAUCAACUAAAGACUUGUCUUGUUUAGUGUUCAACACCUUGGCCAGUAAAAUAAGCUGGUGGGUUUUGAAGUUGCAUGCUUUCAUAAAUACUUAAUACAGCAGGAAAAAUUUCCUAUUUGUUUCUACAGGCUUUGUUGGAAUACACUGCGAUGCAUUCAGCUUUUUCAUUAUACGUGUGUAGAAGCCCUGGAUGUCAGACAAUACGAGGCCUUUUAGCAGCACUUCACACUUUUUGCUUUCCUUUCAAGUCAACAGAAACUCAGCUGCCUGAAGCUUACAAGCUAUCUGCCACAAAAGCUUUAAGAAUGCAGAAUGGAUUUCUCUACGGUCAUGAUCCGAAGGGAAUUUUAUCAGGGAGUUUCUGGGUUUGUUAUGGAGCAAAAGGUAAACAAAGGCACCUACAAGCUGGGA